UCUUCUCUCAAUCAAAACCUAUUCUCUCUCUUAUUUGCUUUUGGGUCAUAGCAGAAGGAAGGGCAGGACAGAUUGUAAACAGAGAUAUCGACCUCACCAGCCUGAAAUCGACGGAAAUUCUGAGUAGAAACCUCCGGAACAAUGUCAGGUGAAGUCAGCGAUUAUGUGAUGCAAGGUUAUUUGGAACAAUGUAUAAAACGGCACAUGAGCCUUAAUGAGACGAAGAAUACACUGUGGUUAAAGGCCAAAAUCAAUCCAGCAUAUACUGAACUUGCGUGGAAACAACUUGAUAAGGCCAACCCAGCAUUUUUUAAGGCAUAUCAUUACCGAUUACUUGUGAAAGAUCAAAUUGUGCGAUUCAAUCAGUUGCUAGAAAGGCAAGUGGAGUUAGUGACCAGUCUUUCAACCGAACCUACUACUGUUGACAUGUCCAAUGGAUCUGAUAUUCCACCAAAUUCAGAUAAUGAAAGUAUGGGCACAAUAUCUGAAAGGGUUGAACAAUGAUCUGUCAUUGAUUAAAGAAGAAGCCGAAAAAAGUCUGUAAUUAACUUGGAUGGUUUGACAACUCUGCAAGAUAUUAUAUGGUGAUUUAUCGGCGUCUGAUCAGGUAACCUUUAAAACAUUUGGCUAGUUUCACUAAAGAUGUUCGCUGUUACUGACUAUGCAUUAGCAUAAACAAAGAAAUUUUUGAGGGAUAAUUUUGAUAGAAUCGGCUCAUGUAUUCUUAAAGAGUCAACAGUACACAGGAUCGACCUUCGAGGCCGGGAUAUACUCCAGCCUUAGGCUCGUCUUUAUAUUCAAAUGGUUGGCCAUCAUCUGUUGAUAUAUCUAAUAAUGUUAAUGGCUCAAUCAAACAUGAAGUUGGUACAAGGAAUGAAUUGGCAGAUGAUGAAGCUGGAAAACUUGCAUAUUUGGACCUAAUGGGGAUGUUCUUGAUGCAGAUGGAUACUUGGAUGUUUCUUCUUACAGCAAUCUCUUAGUGAAUGAUGUUGCUUAUGAGAGUCUUAUGCAGAUUCCAAGAGUCUUCAGUCUGUGACUUAAUAAUCGAUUUUUUCUCAUUUCAGGUCUUACCCUUUUCACCAUUCUCUCCGUUAAAAUCUGUUUAUCAUGUUCAUAAAUGUCAUGCUAAUGAAAAAUUGUUUAAUUAAGUGGACUUUUUUAGUUUGUACAGAUUUAGAGAAGUUUAUUUAGUCAUAGGUAAGAACGGUGUUUUGGAGAAUUUACUAGCAUGAGAAUUUACUGUAAAAGUAACUUUUGAAGAUUCAUGUUACGCUUUUUUAGGGAUGGAUCUUAUUAAUAAUGUUUAAUGAUACUUAUGAUAUGAGGAUAUGAAUAUGAUUCUAUGAAGAUUGUUACUAUCUAUUGGUUUGUGAUUUUAGGAUGAUAUUGCAAGGAUAAUGAAAUAUGUUCAUCUUACCUUUUCAAGGACAUGAUCUAUCUGCAUGGGUUAUAUAAUUGUAAUA